GACGAACGCUGGCGGCGUGCCUAACACAUGCAAGUCGAGCGGAGAAUUCAGCAAUGGAUUCUUAGCGGCGGACGGGUGAGUAACGCGUGGGCAACCUGCCUUGUACAGGGGGAUAACACAGGGAAACUUGUGCUAAUACCGCAUAACAUCACGGAUGGACAUCCAUCGGUGAUCAAAGGAGCAAUCCGGUAUAAGAUGGGCCCGCGUCCAAUUAGCUAGUUGGUGGUGGAACGGGCGACCAAGGCGACGGUUGGUAGACGAACUGUGAGGUUGAGCGGCCACAUUGGGGCUGAGACACGGCGCAGACUCCUACGGGGGGCAGCAGUGGGGAAGAUUGCGCAAUGGGGGGAGCCCUGACGCAGCAACGCCGCGUGAAGGAUGAAGGUUUUCGUAUCGUAAACUUCUUUGAUGAGGGACGAAACAAAUGACGGUACCUCAAAAACAAGCCACGGCUAACUACGUGCCAGCCGCCGCUGUAAGAC
rnacentral:rRNA from 1 species